rnacentral:tRNA from 1 species
CCAUGGCUCAGCUGGUAGAGCGACGCACUCGUAAUGCGUAGGUCGCCGGUUCAAAUCCGGCUG